AUACGGAGGGGGCAAGCGUUGUUCGGAAUUACUGGGCGUAAAGCGCGCGUAGGCGGGCUGGUUAGUUGGGGGUGAAAUCCCAGGGCUUAACCCUGGAACUGCCUUCAAUACUGCCAGUCUAGAGUUCGCGAGAGGUGGGUGGAAUUCCUAGUGUAGAGGUGAAAUUCGUAGAUAUUAGGAAGAACACCAGUGGCGAAGGCGGCUCACUGGCUCGAUACUGACGCUGAGGUGCGAAAGCGUGGGGAGCAAACAGGAUUAGAAACCCCAGUAGUCC
rnacentral:rRNA from 1 species